UAAAAAAAAAAAAAUAAACUAAACUCAUAUUAAUGCAACAAAGAUGAGAACGAAAGCACAAUUUUAUAGAGGUAGAAAAUGAAAUUACUUAUAGAAAGUCAAUAGUAAAUAAAUCGAGAACAGAAAACCCAAUCCCAUUUCGUCAUUAUUCAAUCGAUAUUGCAUAUUUGGUUUUGGUGAUUUGUAUCGCCCACAAUAAUUAAUUUCUUUUUGUGCACAUAAAGUUUUAAAAAUAAUUAAAAUAAUAUGUAAUACGUUAACUCUUUAACAACGAUGAUACAUUUAAGAGAUCAACUUUUGUAUUUGUCAUUUUAUAAUCGAUAAAGAUCGUAGUGUUGCAAAAUAUUAAAAUUAUUUAAUAAAGAAGCAUUAGUAUAAAAACUCACUCGGUUAUCAUCUAGUCUUAUCAUAAUCAUCAAAACAAUCACAUAAUCGACUAUCUUUUCUGGUGUGGUUCGUAUAUAGGCAUCAAUAAAAGAAAGUGGCGACGACUGACAAAACCGAUAAUUGAUUUUGGACCACAAUAAAGUUAGAGACAUGUGAUUUCGAGAAAAUGGACCCUUUUUGCUUAUCAUACUGUUUUAAGUGCCUUGUUCUGUAUCCUCUUGCCACGAUGUGGUUAUGACAUGACAUUUACAUCUCUAUUGAGCUGUCGAGGUCGGAGUUUACUGUUCAAAUUAGGGUUUAACGGAGCCUGAGAAAUCACUAUUAUAAACAAAAAAGGCAAUAAGACGAAGUAUUGAUGACAAAAUCUUUGUAGGAAUGCCCUCUUUUUGGCAAAUUUAAAAGAGAGUACAGUUGUGUUAAAAAAAAAAAGAGUACAGUUUAAUUUUGGUGUUUAUUAAUUUAUAGAGUUAUUAAUUUACAAAAAAAAAUUUUAAAUUUUUUUAAAAUUUUUUUAGAAUACAUAUUCUCUAUAAAAUAUGAAAACCAUUGAUUUUACCGUGUAUACAUUAAUUAAAUUUUAGAAAUUUGACUUUUCUAUUUUUCUGUCAUAUCAUUUGGUGUAUAUGAAAUAUGCUUGAAUUUAAAUGUGGUUUUAGAUAAAAUUUUAAUAAAUAAUAUCAAAAUAUACUAAAUUGUUAAAAAAAUAUACAGAUGGUUCUAUUGUGAAUAUCUAUAUAUAUAAAAGAGUGUUUGGUUCACUCCUGGGGUGUCCACAUAGGCGGACACGUCACUAAUUCGUGCGAUGUCGUGCUGACACCUGUCCCCGAAUAAAAACGCGUCGUUUCAUUUAAGUUUGUUAUGGCGUGAGCUUUUGAUCGUAAUGUAUCCGUCUAUGCUAUUGGGCCUAAUUCAGAGUGUGCUGUCGGCCCAACCAGGCAAUACUGCUCGCAAAUCCUAAUCUGCCGUAUACGUGAAAACAUGUUUGUUCUUCGUUUCUGUUUGUUCGGCGGCGACGGCGACGGCGACGAUCGAGUUUCCUUGCUGUCUCGAAACGGAUUGCGGUAUGGAUUCUGUGUUUAAUCCCAUUAAAAACAUUGACGAUUGAGCUUCCUCAUGGUUUAUGAAACGGAUUGCGUCGGUAAGGCGGUGAGCUUUUUGGUAUAAAUAUGUCAGCAUUUCUCUUCUGAAAAUCGUGUUCUCUUCAUUCAUCUUCUAUUCAUAAGGCGUGGGAAGGUUUCACGACGGCCUCAAACGCUGAUCUGAUCGCUGAGCAGCAGAUUUGGGCUGCGGUUGAUCCUUAUGCCAAGAACGAAUGUUGUUUUGUCUUCUGUUAUUGUUGUUUCAGAAUGAAUGUUGUAUGCCGCCAGAAAUUAUAAACCAUUUGAUUCUUGAUUUUCUCAAUACAUGCUAGAUUGAAGCCUGUGUGUCUGUAUAUUUUUGUUCUAACUUUCCUAAAGAGUUUCUGAUUCAGAAAAUGAAGACUUUAAAGAGUACAAGGAGCAUGCUGAUAAUUUCAUGAAGAGUACCAACCUUCUCCAAGACGAGAUUUAAACACCUUCUAGCUUCUUUAUAAGCAUCUAUCUCCUCUCGGUGGGCAUCCAUGACCAAAUCUGCAGAUGCUACUCAAACGCUGAACUUAGAUUGAACUCACGCUGAAAUCAUUCCACAGUCGUACAUAUACGUGCAUGUCGCAGAUAUACAGACUCUCCAAUGAGACUAGAGCUUAACAUUUCUAUACCAGGAUCUAUGCAGAGCAUAUAACCCAAGUAGAUAUAAGAGAGAUUGAAAGAUAGAAAAUUACUUAACUAGCUGAAACUUGAUUCUUGGCUGAAGUUUUUUGGUUAAUUGUGGCUAAAUGCUUAGAUGAACUUUCUAAUUAUUAUCAUUUUUUUCUGAAACUUAUGGGUUCUAAAUCACGGUUACAUUUCAGGCUUGGAAGAUUGGGUACAUAUAAGUCCGAGAAGCUAAGAACUAUGGACCUACUUAACAUGUGAUCUACUUUUAUGCAACACAACAAGUUGAACAUCAGAGUGGUUUGGAACAACUUUUGCAUUAUGUGGUUUUUUUUUAUCAGCGUAUUAUGUGGUUUUAUGUUUUAAUAUUUUUGGUUCAAGAUGAAGUUUCAGUAAACUACUAAUAAAUUAAUACUCUGUAGAAUUCAUUUGGUUGA